GCCUACGGGGCGCAGCAGUGGGGAAUAUUGCACAAUGGGGGAAACCCUGAUGCAGCGACGCCGCGUGAGUGAAGAAGUAUUUCGGUAUGUAAAGCUCUAUCAGCAGGGAAGAGAAUGACGGUACCUGAGUAAGAAGCCCCGGCUAACUACGCGCCAGCAGCCACGGUAAUACGGAGGAUGCGAGCGUUAUCCGGAUUUAUUGGGUUUAAAGGGUGCGCAGGCGGGAGAUCAAGUCAGCGGUAAAAUGUCGGGGCUCAACCCCGGCCGGCCGUUGAA
rnacentral:rRNA from 1 species